rnacentral:tRNA from 1 species
GGCCCCGUAGCUCAGCUCACAGAGCACCGGCCUGCUAAGCCGGAGGUCGCCGGAGAAUAACCGGCCGGGGCCGCCA